rnacentral:rRNA from 1 species
UCAUGGGAAGCGUGACCCGGACUUAGUGACGGAAACUUAGUUUCCGCCUUUUUCAAGUGUAAAUAGCUUGGAGAAUAAGGGUGUGGGCAAGACUGGUGGCAGCCGCCGCGGUAACACCAGCGCCUCAAGUGGUACCCACGUAUACUGGGCCUAGAGCGUCCGUAGCCGGCCUGAAAAGUCCUCUGUGAAAUAGUGGGGCUCAACUCCACUGCGCGCAGGGGAUACUGCCGGGCUUGGGAGCGGGGGAGGUAAGGGGUACACCUAGGGUAGGGGGUAAAAUCCGUUGAGCCUAGGUGGACCACCAGUGGCGAAGGCGCCUUACCAAAACGCGUCCGACGGUGAGGGACGAAAGCUGGGGGAGCGAACGGGAUUAGAUACCCCGGUAGUCCCAGCUGUAGAUGAUGCAGACUGUGGUGUUGCGCCAGAUUUAAUCUGUCGCAGUGCUGUAGCGUAGGUGUUAAGUCUGCCGCCUGGGGAGUACGACCGCAAGGUUGAAACUUAAAGGAAUUGGCGGGGGAGCACCACAAGCCGUGGAUGCUACGGUUCAAUUGGAUACAACGCCGUGAACUUCACCCGGUGCGACGGCAGCAUGAAGGCCAGACUGAAGAUCUUGCCUGACAAGCCGAGAGGUGUUGCAUGGCCAUCGUCAGCUCGUGGUGUGAACUGUCCGGUUAAGUCCGGCAACGAGCGAGACCCAUGCGUUUAGUUGCUACCUCUGCCUUUAGCAGGGGGCACUCUAAAUGGACUGCCCGCGUUAAGUGGGAGGAAGGAGUGGGCGACGGUAGGUCAGUAUGGCCCGAAUCACCGGGGCUACACGCGGCAUACAAUGGGUGGAACAAUGGGUUGCUACUCCGAGAGGAGGCGCUAAUCCCCUAAAUCCAUCCCUAGUUCGGAUGAGGUUACACUCACUCAUGAAGCUGAAUGGCUAUAACCCGGGUCUCAC